AUGACUAAAACUUCACCUGGUAGAGAAAGAAAAGGACUCAAAGUCCAGGGAAGGCAGCUGCAGGUGCACGGAGGCUGGGGCAGGGUGGAGAGAGACCGGAGGACUGAGAGACCCUUCAGGAGUCAAGUCUCCACCACCAGCGAUAAUCCGGCUGCGGGGAGAUUGCUGGCGGGGAUGCUGGGCCCACAGGCACCCAGGACUCCCAGUCUGGAGAGUGGGUGCUGCCGUCCUGUGUGCUCCCGGCCCGUCGGCCCCGGUCGUGCUCACACGUAUGUCCGUGUGCGCACUGGCAGCAACCCGGAGGCCAUGCCACGGAAGCCCUGCAGCACUGUCGCCGCGGCUCACCAAAAUAGCACCGAGCAAUUUAGGUCACGAAUGGACAAGCUCCGAGCCGCGCGGGGUGGGGGAACCUGCAUUGACCCCACUGUGUUAGGGCCUCUCACAGCUUUGGCUUUGGCGAAGGAACGGAGGCUGGAUGUCGUCGGGAAGUGGCCACCAGGGAGCUGCUGUCCCCAGGAGACCCUGCCUGGCCCUGCUCCAUCCUGGGGCGUCUCGCCCAGGGUGCCUCCUCCGUGGCCACACGGCCCACCCCCACCUCCCCCGCAGCCUGUGGCUCAAAGGCCACCCGCCCUCGCAGACCCCACCCGGCUGCCUCUGCCUCUGCGCACACACAGCCCUCGGUUCCUGGUUUGCGGCGCCAGGUGACGCUAUCCCAUUGUCAACGAGGACAGGCCGGCAGGCGAGUCUCCUUUGUGUCUCUAUCCAGCACACAGCACACAGUGGGCGCUCCCUAAAUGCACGCUCGUGGUGCGGCACCCGUCCUUCCUGCCCAGGGCUCGGCACCCCUCCCCAGCUCCCCUGUGUCCCAUGGGCAGGCGCCCGCAGUGUCUUCACGGACCUGUUCUCACCUCGCCUUCCCAGCUACCCUCUGAGCCCGGGACUGCUGUGACCCCACUCCGCAGAUGGGAAAACUGAGGGCAAGUUCCCACCACUGACCCCGGGGCACAGCCAGGAGCAGCAGCACCAGAUGAGGAUCAGCUGUAUUGACGGAGCCGGAGACCGGUGGGGAGGGGGCUCCUGUCUGAUGCUUUUUAAAUAAAC
rnacentral:lncRNA from 1 species